GAUGAACGCUGGCGGCGUGCCUAAUACAUGCAAGUCGAGCAAACGGACGAGAAGCUUGCUUUUCUGAUGUUAGCGGCGGACGGGUGAGUAACACGUGGAUAACCUACCUAUAAGACUGGGAUAACUUCGGGAAACCGGAGCUAAUACCGGAUAAUAUUUUGAACCGCAUGGUUCAUAAGUGAAAGACGGUCUUGCUGUCACUUAUAGAUGGAUCCGCGCUGCAUUAGCUAGUUGGUAAGGUAACGGCUUACCAAGGCAACGAUGCAUAGCCGACCUGAGAGGGUGAUCGGCCACACUGGAACUGAGACACGGUCCAGACUCCUACGGGAGGCAGCAGUAGGGAAUCUUCCGCAAUGGGCGAAAGCCUGACGGAGCAACGCCGCGUGAGUGAUGAAGGUCUUCGGAUCGUAAAACUCUGUUAUUAGGGAAGAACAUAUGUGUAAGUAACUGUGCACAUCUUGACGGUACCUAAUCAGAAAGCCACGGCUAACUACGUG
rnacentral:rRNA from 1 species